rnacentral:rRNA from 1 species
GAUGAACGCUGGCGGCGUGCCUAAUACAUGCAAGUCGAGCGAACGGACGAGAAGCUUGCUUCUCUGAUGUUAGCGGCGGACGGGUGAGUGACACGUGGAUAACCUACCUAUAAGACUGGGAUAACUUCGGGAAACCGGAGCUAAUACCGGAUAAUAUUUUGAACCGCAUGGUUCAAAAGUGAAAGACGGUCUUGCUGUCACUUAUAGAUGGUUCCGCGCUGCAUUAGCUAGUUGGUAAGGUAACGGCUUACCAAGGCAACGAUGCAUAGCCGACCUGAGAGGGUGAUCGGCCACACUGGAACUGAGACACGGUCCAGACUCCUACGGGAGGCAGCAGUAGGGAAUCUUCCGCAAUGGGCGAAAGCCUGACGGAGCAACGCCGCGUGAGUGAUGAAGGUCUUCGGAUCGUAAAACUCUGUUAUUAGGGAAGAACAUAUGUGUAAGUAACUGUGCACAUCUUGACGGUACCUAAUCAGAAAGCCACGGCUAACUACGUG